rnacentral:rRNA from 1 species
AACKACUCUCKGCAACGGAUAUCUCGGCUCUCGCAUCGAUGAAGAACGUAGCGAAAUGCGAUACUUGGUGUGAAUUGCAGAAUCCCGUGAACCAUCGAGUUUUUGAACGCAAGUUGCNNCCGAAGNNUCCGGCUGAGGGCACGUCUGCCUGGGCG